AACAACCUCGACGAAUUUCCGACACAACUAGAAGUCCUCCCACCGCUCAUCUGUUCACUCGUCUUCCUCGGUCUCGCUCCGCUGGCUCACUCCCGCGCCGCCCAGCGCCUCAGCCCCCGCCCCCUUCCGCCCGAAGUCGCCUUCUUGCUUACCCCUGCUGCGCUGCCGCCGCCUUGCUCCCCCGCGGCCUUGCUCCCCGCGCUGGUGUCGCCUGCGAAGAAAUCGCCGUCGGGAAAGCUUUGAUUUUUCCCGUCCAAGACAUCGCCGCCGCCUUGCUUCUCUCUUGGCGUUCAUGUCCGCGGAGGCCGCCGUCUCUGCUAGUUGCGGGGCGUGCGGGUACGACCUGAAGCUGAGCCGAACACGGCGGCCGGCGCGACGAGGCAGCGGCGGAGCGUGGUGGUGUUUGAGGCCAUCGAUGACACGCGGCUGAAGGCAUCAAAACAGGAAGAGGUGGUGAUUCAGAAGGUCAAUCCGCAAGUGGCAACUAAGAAGGCAACUCAGUGCGCUGCUCCUUUGUAGUUCAAUGAAACGAUGUUAUAUGUCGAGAAGCGAAAACUGAAUCGCCUCUUGCAAUGUUGCUAAAUCACAUCAUAUUGCAAGUACUGCUAUGGGCUGGUGGCAAUCUGUCCCUUUCAUCAAUUAUAGAACCCAGACUAGGGCUGGGCCUGGAGGGUGCUGCUGCAAGUGGAUCAGGUGCAGGCCCACCUUCGAAGGUGAAAGUUGUAAUGCUUGAACUCCGGGGUGAGUUCUCCAACGAUAAUCAGGAGAUUUGGACCCAAGAGGAGUUAAAAAGGCACAUCGUGCAAGGCCUGGAUGGGCAAUCUUCAGAUGAGUGGGAACUCCUUGAGCAACAACCCUUCCCCACCACCUGCACUGACAUCGCAGACCACUCCUUCGCCACAACCAUCUUCGGCAGGCAGUCCUAGUGACAGUAACAGUAAUGGUAACGGUAUAUGCGAUAUUAGAUGUGGGGGAGUCACCGGAAUCGUCAUAUCUCUGGUGGUUCUAACACAAUGGUUGCCUUCUUUUUGUGAUCUUUUAAAAUGUAUAUGCGAGUUUUGUCUUCUCUGAUGUCUUAACGAUGCUUUGUUCUUCAGUGCUCAGGCCCAUGAACAUUGUCUCACCAGCCUAGAAAGAAGGAUUGCAGAGGACCGUCUCGAUGAACUUGCAACCUCCCUCAUCGCCGUCACGUUCUACGAGGAAAAUUUGAACAAAGAAACUCCAGGGCACGUGGAUGGAAGCAACCCUUCUAAGACGGUCGGUGCAGGUGCGGCUCUCCACCCUUUUCUGCGGCCGCAGCGGCGAUGACGAGCCUCAGGUGGGGCGACCCCCCGCGGCGAGCGGAGCAGCGGCGCAACGGGAGGGAGCUGUGGAAGGCGGCGGAGCGGCGAGAGAGCUGCUCGAUGCGGGGGAAGGCCAGCGGGGGAGCUCGUCUGUGCUCCUGGAGGCCCCGCAUCCUUUGCGCCUGGAGGCCCCGCCUUCUCUGCUCCUGGAGCGUUCGCAGACGACCGGCGGGGCUGCAGGCUCACCGUCGAAGUCGAGCGCAAGAGCCCAGCUCCAGCGCGGGAUGGGGACGGAGCUCCGUCGGGAUGGGAACGUCGGAAUUUUGGAUCUUGAUUUGAGGACCACGUUCGGGAAGAACUGAAUUAGCGAGGGGGUUUUCAUAAAAUUAGGAUUGUACAUGGGCCGUGUCAUCUAAAUCGGGCCGGAGGGAGUAAAAAAAAAGGAGUAGCCAACGCGGCCCAAACAAUUGGAUGCUACAGUUUUCCAGGCAAGGACAAGACCUCCAGCUGCAUGUCGCCGCCGCACCCGCAUCCAGCGACACCGCCGCCACUGUCCUGCAUCGCGGUCGACCGCCGCUGCCACCAGGUCGGCCCUGUCCUGCAUCACCGGAGAGCGACUCCGCCCUCAGGUCGGCCCCGUCCUGCAUCGCGGGCGACCGACGACGCCACUAGGUUUGCCCUGUCCUGCUUCGCCGGCCAGCGCCAUCGCCAACAGGUCGGCCUCGUCCUGCUUCGCCGGAGAGCGAUGCCGCCACCAGGUCGACCCCUGCAUCGCGGAUGACCGACGCCGCAACCAGGUUGGCCCCGUCCUGCAUAGCAGCAUAAGCCGCCACCAAUCUCGCCAGGUUUGGAUUUGGGGUGAAUUGCUUAGGCCCAGAUCGAGCCCAGCCGCCAUGCGCAACCACGGGCAGCGGGGCGCUUACCACGCAGCACCUUCCACCGCGUGCCCUCCGCAUCGCCACCACGUGCCCUCCCCGUGCCUCCACAUGCCGCAGCCCUGGCCAUGGCCAUCGCGAUGAGGCAGCGCGGGAGAGAUAGACCCCGCCUCCGGUGCCGCCUGAGUGUGGGUGACACCGGAGGAAGAUAAUAUUGCCUAAUAGUAGAGAAGUUUCAGAUACCGGUCCUGCUUGUAAUUAGGACUUACUGAAGAAAUGGAGAUGGUUUGGUACUAGUAAUUAGGACAUCCAGUAGUUGUACUCCCUCUCUCACAGUUUAUUACGUGUGCGCGUACCCCUAGGUUGCAAAUUUUAUCAAGUUAGUAUUAAUUAUAUGUUAUAAAAAUUAUAUCAUUAGAAAGUUUAGAUGUUCUAUUUUGUAAUGAUAUAAUUUUUGCAUUAUAUAAUUUAAAUUAUAUAGGUCAAAUUGGUGACCCAACGAUACGGGGAAGACUAGUAAACUGAGACGGAGGGAGUACUAGAAAAGGAAUACAAAUGAGCAGUUACAAACGGCCAUUUUAGAGAAGUUCAAAUAUGGCCAACCAUCCAGGCAAUUGAAGCAAAUGUCCUCAUCACAGAACCUAUAGUACUUUCCACGUGCUCUGGAUUUAGAGAUGACUCUGAAUAUUGCCACCCCA